CUUUUUAAUUUUUUUUCAAAAUAUAAUUAAUUUUGAAUAAAAUAAUGGAUAAAGGUAGAUGGAGAAAGUUCACCGGAAAAACAAAAAAAGUAGAUGGAGAAAAUUUUUUUCGCUCGUACUUCACUCUUCUUCCUCUGGGAGAGCCACUCAGCAGUCAGCCUCAUCUCUACCUCACCCGAUCUAGGUACGACUCCCUCCAAAUCUUACUUCCUUGCAAAAUUACGUAACACGAAUAGUUCAUUUCUUGGUCACCCAGUUGAUGUUCUAGCUGCAAGAUGGAUAAGCGCUCUUCUGUGGUAGGUUGUGCGGAGU
rnacentral:misc_RNA from 1 species